UCGUCCGUUCGCGGAAUUGAUGCCGCCGGCGGCGUCGUUGCCGUCGCUCGAAUCGUUGUGCAGUGUCGACGAAGACGGC
rnacentral:tRNA from 1 species